rnacentral:rRNA from 1 species
ACGUGGGCAACCUGCCUUAUAGAGGGGAAUAGCCUUCCGAAAGGAAGAUUAAUACCGCAUAAGAUUGUAGCUUCGCAUGAAGUAGCAAUUAAAGGAGCAAUCCGCUAUAAGAUGGGCCCGCGGCGCAUUAGCUAGUUGGUGAGGUAACGGCUCACCAAGGCGACGAUGCGUAGCCGACCUGAGAGGGUGAUCGGCCACAUUGGGACUGAGACACGGCCCAGACUCCUACGGGAGGCAGCAGUGGGGAAUAUUGCACAAUGGGGGAAACCCUGAUGCAGCAACGCCGCGUGAGUGAUGACGGCCUUCGGGUUGUAAAGCUCUGUCUUUGGGGACGAUAAUGACGGUACCCAAGGAGGAAGCCACGGCUAACUACGUGCCAGCAGCCGCGGUAAUACGUAGGUGGCAAGCGUUGUCCGGAUUUACUGGGCGUAAAGGGAGCGUAGGCGGAUUUUUAAGUGGGAUGUGAAAUACCCGGUCUCAACCUGGGUGCUGCAUUCCAAACUGGAAAUCUAGAGUGCAGGAGGAGAAAGUGGAAUUC